rnacentral:rRNA from 1 species
UGGUGGAGUGAUUUGUCUGCUUAAUUGCGAUAACGAACGAGACCUUAACCUGCUAAAUAGCCAGGCUAACUUUGGUUGGUCGCCGGCUUCUUAGAGAGACUAUCAACUCAAGUUGAUGGAAGUUUGAGGCAAUAACA